CAAGAUUUUGGCAGUGACGGACCAAACGGGGGCAUACCCUGGGUCAGUUCCUCAAGAGCGUCGUGCCAGCUUGCAGGAAGUGCUGCGUGAGAGAGGCAUGAGAUAGGCAGCUAAGUUGCAUACAUACCACAAACAUACACGUCGUGUGAGGGCCCAAGAGUGCCGUCGCCAUGCUCCUCUCAGCUCCUCCGCCGAGACAGUGUUGGGUAUCGGCGCCGGUCACAAGGUUGAUCGAACCGCAAGAUUUGCACCGCCAAACUCCCAUUGCCGCCGUCCCCAUUGCCACCGGAGUCCGCCAUCGCCGUGUGCUGC
rnacentral:lncRNA from 1 species